ACGUCAAGUCAGCAUGGCCGUUUAUAUCCUGGGCUACACACACGCUACAAUGGGAAGGGACAAUAGGUUGCGAAGCCGCGAGGCGGAGCCAAUCCAGCAAAACUUCCCUCAGUUCAGAUUGCAGGCUGCAACUCGCCUGCAUGAAGUUGGAGUUGCUAGUAAGCGCAGGUCAGCCAUACUGCGUUGAAUACGUUCCCGGGGCGUU
rnacentral:rRNA from 1 species